AUUCCAGCUCCAAUAGCGUAUAUUUAAGUUGCUGCAGUUAAAAAGCUCGUAGUUGGAUUUCGGGUGGGAAUGGCCGGUCCGCCGUUUCGGUGUGCACUUGCUACGCCCACCUUGCUGCCGGGGACGUGCUCUUGAGUUUGCGCUCGGGACACGGAGUCGGCGAGGUUACUUUGAGUAAAUUAGAGUGUUCAAAGCAGGCCUACGCUCUGAAUACAUUAGCAUGGAAUAACACGAUAGGACUCUGGCCUAUCUUGUUGGUCUGUAGGACCGGAGUAAUGAUUAAGAGGGACAGUCGGGGGCAUUCGUAUUUCAUUGUCAGAGGUGAAAUUCUUGGAUUUAUGAAAGACGAACUACUGCGAAAGCAUUUGCCAAGGAUGUUUUCAUCA
rnacentral:rRNA from 1 species